GAAUAUUGGUCAAUGGACGCAAGUCUGAACCAGCCAUGCCGCGUGGAGGAUGAAGGUCCUCUGGAUUGUAAACUUCUUUUAUCUGGGAAGAAAUCCAUUUUUUCUAAAAUGGUUGACGGUACCAGAUGAAUAAGCACCGGCUAACUCCGUGCCAGCAGCCGCGGUAAUACGGAGGGUGCAAGCGUUAUCCGGAUUCACUGGGUUUAAAGGGUGCGUAGGUGGGCAAGUAAGUCAGUGGUGAAAUCUCCGGGCUUAACCCGGAAACUGCCAUUGAUACUAUUUGUCUUGAAUACUGUGGAGGUCAGCGGAAUAUGCCAUGUAGCGGUGAAAUGCUUAGAUAUGACAUAGAACACCAAUUGCGAAGGCAGCUGGCUACACAAAUAUUGACACUGAGGCACGAAAGCGUGGGGAUCAAACAGG
rnacentral:rRNA from 1 species